rnacentral:rRNA from 1 species
GGGGACCCGCACAAGCGGUGGAUGAUGUGGUUUAAUUCGAUGCGACGCGAAAAACCUUACCCACUUUUGACAUGUACGGAAUCCUUUAGAGAUAGAGGAGUGCCCGAAAGAGAACCGUAACACAGGUGCUGCAUGGCUGUCGUCAGCUCGUGUCGUGAGAUGUUGGGUUAAGUCCCGCAACGAGCGCAACCCUUGCCAUUAGUUGCUACAUUUAGUUGGGCACUCUAAUGGGACUGCCGGUGACAAACCGGAGGAAGGGGGGGAUGACGUCAAGUCCUCAUGGCCCUUAUAGGUGGGGCUACACACGUCAUACAAUGGCUGGUACAGAAGGUUGCCAACCCGCGAGGGGGAGCUAAUCCUAUAAAGCCAGUCGUAGUCCGGAUCGCAGUCUGCAACUCGACUGCGUGAAGUCGGAAUCGCUAGUAAUCGCGGAUCAGAAUGUCGCGGUGAAUACGUUCCCGGGUCUUGUACACACCGCCCGUCACACCAUGGGAGCGGGUCUCGCCAGAAGUAGGUAGCUUAACCGCAAGGGG